UUUAUGGAGAGUUUGAUCCUGGCUCAGGAUGAACGCUGGCGGCGUGCCUAAUACAUGCAAGUCGAGCGAACGGAUGAGAAGCUUGCUUCUCUGAUGUUAGCGGCGGACGGGUGAGUAACACGUGGAUAACCUACCUAUAAGACUGGGAUAACUUCGGGAAAACGGAGCUAAUACCGGAUAAUAUUUUGA
rnacentral:rRNA from 1 species